rnacentral:lncRNA from 1 species
GAUGUGCAUAGUGAGUCCUAUCUCUCUUACCACCCGUAGAGUCAUUGGGUCAUGCUCCUCUGAUCCCGGGCAAUGGGCCAGGGAUGUAGCUCAGUGUAAAGGUCCUGGGUUCAAUCCCCAGUAUGGAAGAGGAAGAAGGAGAAGAAGGAGAAGAAGAAGAAGGAGAAGGAGAAGAAGGAGAAGAAGGAGAAGAAGGAGAAGAAGGAGAAGAAGGAGGAGGAGGCGGAGGAAGAGGAGGAAGAGGAGGAAGAGGAGGAAGAGGAGGGAGUUUGGCGUUUUGUCUCAGCAAGGAGAAAAAGUAACUAAGACAACUGUCACUGAACAUAG